ACAGAGGUCUCGAGCGUUAGUCGGAUUCAUUGGGCUUAAAGCGUGCGUAGGCGGAUGUGCAGGCGUCGUGUGAAAGCCCUCGGCUCAACCGGGGAAUUGCACGGCGAACCGCAUGUCUUGAGACAAGUAGGGGCGGUCGGAACGAUAGGUGGAGUGGUGAAAUGCGUUGAUAUCUAUCGGAACGCCAAAGGUGAAGACAGACCGCUGGGCUUGUUCUGACGCUGAGGCACGAAAGCGUGGGGAGCAAACGGGA
rnacentral:rRNA from 1 species